rnacentral:rRNA from 1 species
AUGCCACCGCAACUACCUGUGACCAAGCCACUACGUACAUGCAUGAGUCCUUAUCCUGCUCUCCUUGCAUGCAAGCCAUGCUCACAGUUGGUACACUAUUUUCUUUUGACAAGAUUAAUCCUUACAAUCACCUCCCUAAUCUUGUCACCUCAUCUCCGACGUCGUCGCAACGCCGAACACGCACCUUGCUGCAGCAUCAUACUGCAAUAUUUUUUGGCUUCGCACCAACUCUCCAUGAUGACGAUUGCAUCGCACCACCGUCAUCGGCAUCGCACCGACCCAAGCGACAGCAUCACACCACCGUCUCCUCUUGCGGCAUCGUACCACAGCCACAUGUUUGCCACCGGUGCCACAACUCGCCGAUGA